CAUGCAGGUCGAGGGGAAACGACAUCGAAAGCUUGCUUUUGAUGGGCGUCGACCGGCGCACGGGUGAGUAACGCGUAUCCAACCUGCCCACCACUUGGGGAUAACCUUGCGAAAGUAAGACUAAUACCCAAUGAUAUCUCUAGAAGACAUCUGAAAGAGAUUAAAGAUUUAUCGGUGAUGGAUGGGGAUGCGUCUGAUUAGCUUGUUGGCGGGGUAACGGCCCACCAAGGCUACGAUCAGUAGGGGUUCUGAGAGGAAGGUCCCCCACAUUGGAACUGAGACACGGUCCAAACUCCUACGGGAGGCAGCAGUGAGGAAUAUUGGUCAAUGGACGAGAGUCUGAACCAGCCAAGUAGCGUGCAGGAUGACGGCCCUAUGGGUUGUAAACUGCUUUUAUAAGGGAAUAAAGUGAGCCUCGUGAGGCUUUUUGCAUGUACCUUAUGAAUAAGGACCGGCUAAUUCCGUGCCAGCAGCCGCGGUAAUACGGAAGGUCCGGGCGUUAUCCGGAUUUAUUGGGUUUAAAGGGAGCGUAGGCCGGAGAUUAAGCGUGUUGUGAAAUGUAGAUGCUCAACGUCUGCACUGCAGCGCGAACUGGUUUCCUUGAGUACGCACAAAGUGGGCGGAAUUCGUGGUGUAGCGGUGAAAUGCUUAGAUAUCACGAAGAACUCCGAUUGCGAAGGCAGCUCACUGGAGCGCAACUGACGCUGAAGCUCGAAAGUGCGGGUAUCGAACAGGAUUAGAUACCCUGGUAGUCCGCACGGUAAACGAUGGAUGCCCGCUGUUGGUCUGAAUAGGUCAGCGGCCAAGCGAAAGCAUUAAGCAUCCCACCUGGGGAGUACGCCGGCAACGGUGAAACUCAAAGGAAUUGAC
rnacentral:rRNA from 1 species